UACGGAGGGUGCGAGCGUUAUUCGGAAUUACUGGGCGUAAAGCGCGUGCAGGCGGGAGAGUGGGUCUGAUGUGAAAGCCCGGGGCUUAACCCCGGAAGAGCAUUGGAAACUGUUCUUCUUGAGUUUCGGAGAGGAAGGGGGAAUUCCCGGUGUAGAGGUGAAAUUCGUAGAGAUCGGGAGGAACACCAGUGGCGAAGGCGCCCUUCUGGACGACAACUGACGCUGAGACGCGAAAGCGUGGGGAGCAAACAGG
rnacentral:rRNA from 1 species